rnacentral:rRNA from 1 species
GCACUUCGGGAUAAGCCUGGGAAACUGGGUCUAAUACCGGAUAUGACCUCAGGUUGCAUGACUUGGGGUGGAAAGAUUUAUCGGUGCAGGAUGGGCCCGCGGCCUAUCAGCUUGUUGGUGGGGUAAUGGCCUACCAAGGCGACGACGGGUAGCCGACCUGAGAGGGUGACCGGCCACACUGGGACUGAGACACGGCCCAGACUCCUACGGGAGGCAGCAGUGGGGAAUAUUGCACAAUGGGCGAAAGCCUGAUGCAGCGACGCCGCGUGAGGGAUGACGGCCUUCGGGUUGUAAACCUCUUUCAGCAGGGACGAAGCGCAAGUGACGGUACCUGCAGAAGAAGCACCGGCUAACUACGUGCCAGCAGCCGCGGUAAUACGUAGGGUGCAAGCGUUGUCCGGAAUUACUGGGCGUAAAGAGUUCGUAGGCGGUUUGUCGCGUCGUUUGUGAAAACCAGCAGCUCAACUGCUGGCUUGCAGGCGAUACGGGCAGACUUGAGUACUGCAGGGGAGACUGGAAUUCCUGGUGUAGCGGUGAAAUGCGCAGAUAUCAGGAGGAACACCGGUGGCGAAGGCGGGUCUCUGGGCAGUAACUGACGCUGAGGAACGAAAGCGUGGGUAGCGAACAGGAUUAGAUACCCUGGUAGUCCACGCCGUAAACGGUGGGCGCUAGGUGUGGGUUCCUUCCACGGAAUCCGUGCCGUAGCUAACGCAUUAAGCGCCCCG